GGUCGGAAGUUCAAGUCUUCCCAGGCCCACCACACUCAUCGAGUGAGCAUUCGUCUUCUGGUUACGGGGCCAUAGCUCAGCUGGGAGAGCGCGUGCUUUGCAAGCAUGAGGUCGUCGGUUCGAUCCCGUCUGGCUCCACCAGAUGGUUUGAUCAUCGACUGAUCGUGCACCUGAAAUCGUCCGCGAAACAUCACUUCGCACCCACUAGUCCGGAUGGACGGUGACGUGCGUGAUUUCUGACAUCGUAAAGAGGAGAUCGAUCCGAGUUGGAUCGUGCAGCAAGCAAUUGCUACGCGAUACUUCAUUAUCUCCGGAUCAUUUCGGCGCUCGUGCGUCUUCCAAGGUAGCUCACAAGGCUGCAUUGAAAGACAGGCGAGUUGUAAAUGAUCCUUUUAGCGAAGCUUGACCGCCUCGCUAUCGGAACGAUCUUACAAGCAAGCUGGUCUUUCUAAUCAUUGUCCGGCUGCAGAUAGCGUUCAUCGAGGGCGCGUGCCGCAAGGCAGUUCUGCAGACAACAUUCUGCCGAGUGUGUGGACAUUGAUAAUGAGAGC
rnacentral:tRNA from 1 species